rnacentral:lncRNA from 1 species
CGGAUGAACAGCUUGGAGCUCUCAGGUUGCUUACGAAGCUGCCAGAAAGGACCGGAAGGUUCAGGGUUCUGAGAGGUAUGGAGCCACAGGGAGCUGCAGUUUUAGCUCCUAGCUAUACUCGGCACCUCAGUUCCCAUGAAGAAUCAGCCUUCUCUCCUCCUGCUGGGAACCCCUCCUGGUGAGGGAUCCUGGGGGUGGCAGCCAUCUUCCCACAGCCUGUCACUGAGAGGAAAGAAUGGCACUGGGUCCAGUGUAACUGGAGGAUGUGACAACUGGAAGGACACAUGAGUGAUGGAGAAAUGUCUUUGUAAUCAGAACUAUUCGUUGGCCCUCAGCAUCUCCUAUCCAUUCCACUACGCAGACGGGGAGACUGAGUCAGUGGUGACUGGGAGAUCUGCACUGGCUCAGUCAGAAGCAAGACCAGACUGUUUCCAAGCUCUGAGCUGAAAGUGUCUGUGCUAGCUUUAUGCAGUUGCUGACCCGUUCCCGCUGGUGGGCACUUUGAUAAAUCAUUUCAAUUAGAAACAGAUGUUAUCAUGCUACACACAGAGAUGUAUCUUCCCAAGGUUCCAAACCAGCGAUGUUGCUAUUUAUGACUUCCAGUCGGUGUGUGGUCAGUGCUGGCCUAACCUCACACACGAACAAAUAAGCACACGGCAACGUUAGCUUUGGUGUUUCAGGAGAGCCGAGUAUAGAGUUGUGUGUCCUCCCUAGACAUAAGAUUAAUCUUGUUUGGGAAAUGGGCAGGGGAAAUAAGAGUUUGGGUUUUUGUGCAAAACAUCCAGCAAAUAACACAACAAAGGAGACUGUAGGAAUCUCUGUCUGGGAGGUAAUCACUGAAACAGCCUUCCUCACUCCAUGACACCUGGUUGAAACCAUCAUAGUUUGAGGACCUAAACUUGCAUGAAGAGGCAGUCCCAUGUCAUUUCUCCCGUAUUUAAUAUUCAUAUGGCUUUUGUUUUCUGAUAAUGACUCCCACUUAGCAAUAAAAUUA